UACUCAACUUCCUAUUGCAAAUGCCAAAGCACCAAGAGCGGCAACUCCAAGUUCUUUCAUACCCUCAGCUCAGGGAAAAGAGCUAACUGCUGCGGGAGAGGCGACUUCUCUUUCACUUCAUUCACGGGAGACCUACCAAAUCUGCGCAUUUCUAUAAGUCAUGGUCACAUGUCUUGUGAACAUUCAACCAUCAAGAGUGAAGGUCAAAGGAAUGCUUUUCU
rnacentral:lncRNA from 1 species